GACGAACGCUGGCGGCGUGCUUAACACAUGCAAGUCGAGCGGUAAGGCCCUUUCGGGGGUACACGAGCGGCGAACGGGUGAGUAACACGUGGGUGACCUGCCCUCAGCUCUGGGAUAAGCCCGGGAAACUGGGUCUAAUACUGGAUAUGACUCCAUGACGCAUGUUGUGGGGUGGAAAGCCUUGUGCGGCUGAGGAUGGGCCCGCGGCCUAUCAGCUUGUUGGUGGGGNGAUGGCCUACCAAGGCGACGACGGGUAGCCGGCCUGAGAGGGCGACCGGCCACACUGGGACUGAGACACGGCCCAGACUCCUACGGGAGGCAGCAGUGGGGAAUCUUGCGCAAUGGGCGAAAGCCUGACGCAGCGACGCCGCGUGAGGGAUGACGG
rnacentral:rRNA from 1 species